CAAGGAUGCAGCAUCUAUAAGCCAUGAGUGGAUACAGUUACAUUUUUAGCAAGCAGUUGGUGCUAAAUACAUUUGAAAAUGGCACAGAGGUACAACUCAAGCUGGAGGAGAAAAAUGAAGAGCCAACAAACUACUUGCAAAAGAUACAGACGAAAGCAGGGCACACAAGGACUAGAGAGCAAAGAAUCAACAAACUGGAGGUCAGAUGAUUGCUGUACUGAGCAAGUGAUCAGUUCUGCUAAUCUGGAAGCUGAUGACGCUGCUGAUCUGGAAGACUCUUCGAUCACAAAUAUGUGUGACCUCCAUUACACCAACCAUUCAUCCUCCCAGUGCUAUGGCAAUAAAUUGCUGAUGUUUUGAUUUUACAAUGUGUUUUAUGUGUUUCAUGAAAAAAAUCUGAAUUACGUGCAGUGUAAAACU